rnacentral:lncRNA from 1 species
CAAGGGGUGACAGUAUCCCCAGGGGGGUGACAGUGUCCCCAAGGGGUGACAGUGUCCCCAGGGGGUGUCAUUGUCCCCAAGGGGUGUCAUUGUCCCCAAGGGGGGGUGUCAUUGUCCCCAAGGGGUGUCAGUGUCCCCAGGAGGAGUGUCAGUGUCCCCAGGGGGGGUGACAGUGUCCCCAGUGAUGUGACAGUGUCCCCAAGGAGUGUCAUUGUCCCCAGGGGGGUGACAAAGCCCAGCCGGGUGACAAAGCUCCGGUUUAUUUACAAACUGCUGGGGGGAGGUGGCACCGUCCCUGUCCCCUCUGUCCCCUCUGUCCCCUGUGAGGCCUCGGCCUGGCAGGAGCGGUGUCACCUCCCGAUGUCACCUCCCGAUGUCACCUCCGGUGGCACCUCCUGGUGGCACCUCCUGGGUCACAUCUGUGGUGUCCCCAAUGCCACAUCCGUGAUGUCCCCAAUGUCACAUCUCGGUGUCUCUGAUGUCACUCCUGUGGUGUCCCCAGUGUCACAUCCUGGGUGUCCCCAAUGUCACAUCCUGGGUGUCCUCGAUGUCACUCCUGCGGUGUCCUUGGUGUCACAUCCGUGGUGUCCUUAAUGUCACAUCUCAGUGUCUCUGGUGUCACAUCUGGGGUGUCCUCGAUGUCACUCCUGUGGUGUCCCCAAUGUCUGUCACAUCCAUGGUGUCCUCGAUGUCCUGUCUCUGUGUCCCCUGUGUCACUCCUCUGCUGUCCUGUCUUGGUGUCCCCAAUGUCACAUCCAUGGUGUCCUCGGUGUCACUCCUGCGGUGUCCUUGGUGUCACAUCCAUGGUGUCCUUAAUGUCACAUCUCAGUGUCUCUGGUGUCACAUCUGGGGUGUCCCCAAUGUCACAUCCUGGGUGUCCUCAGUGUCACAUCCUGGGUGUCCUCGGUGUCACAUCCGCAGUGUCCCCGAUGUCCCAAGGUGAAGAUCUCGUCCUGGUCAUCUCUGGUGUCCCCAAUGUCCCCAGUGUCCCCAAGUCUGUCCCCAGUGUCCCAAAUGUCCUCGAUGUCCCCAAUGUCCGAAUGUCCCCAGUGUCCCACUGUCACAAUGUGGAGAUCUCAUCCUCAGUGUCCA